UUGGAAGAGCUAUCAGUCACUUGGUACUGGUGCGGAUGGUCCCAAGAACUCUGUAUAUUAAUAUACAGAGUCCUUGAUGGACUGAUGGUAUUCAUUAUAGGCCUUCAGUCAGAUGGUCCUCAUGACAGAUCGGCCUGAAUGCAAAUAGGCCUCAGGGCGUUUGGUACUUGAGACAUAGGUGUCGCAACUAUCGUUCCAGCAGGAGAAAAUUAGCGGUUGUGGGAAUAAAUUAAAUUAAAAUAUAACAAUCCACCGUGACGAGUGGAUGAAACAAUGAGGAUCCGAGUCGAGCGGGUUCACCAUUCCGGAGCCGCUUGACAAGCGGGGAUUCAGUCAACUUCCCAACAGCUGCUAGAGAACAUGGCCGCUCCUUCAUUAUAUUAACCAGCAGACACUUUGCACCCCAUUAUCACUGGCCAAGCCCACACCUCCAUGAUGGCAGUGGUGGUGGCAGCACUCACCAAACACUGGCUCAUUGGCACAGCCUUUGAGUCGCACGCCCCGGGAGGUCGGCUCAAUCAGGAAGUGGCGCACCAGCUCAUUGGCUGGGUCGCUGGACUUGCUGGCCACAUUAGGUGGUGGGGUGGACACCUUGAGGGCGAGACCAAAGGCUCCAGGGAAGGAGUUGGAGUCUCGGACGACGAAUGUGCCAGGUGCCUUGUCUCUUAGCAUGGAAAUGGCUGCAACACAGAGAAGAAUAUAAAUAUAUGAAAGGAUAUUACCAUGAUAGAUUAUUUAAUUUAUAAUUGAGUCUAUCUGUAUUUGGGACAAAUAUUAGGUAUAUUUAUAUCAGGUUUUUUAUCAAGUUUGUGUUUAUUUUACAAUUUUUUAGCUCUAUUUAUUUUAAAUUUUUGUUUUGAGUUUAUUUUACAUUUUUUGUUAAUUUCAGUUUGAGUUUAUUGUAUUUUCUUCUUUUAGAUCUUUGUUCAGUUCUUUAUUGAUAUGAGAAUCUGAGUGCAACAAAGGCCUAGCAAUGUUGGAAUAACACAUACAUUACAAAAUUGUGCAUCAUCAGAAAUAAUAAAAAAUAAAAUCCUACAA